rnacentral:lncRNA from 12 species
AUGGGGGGGGGGGGGAUGGAGAGCAGGAAGGAGGGAGGCAGGGAGAGAAAGGUCGAGAUGCUUGGAGAUGCAGAGAUAGAGAUGGAGACGGAUACGCGGAGAGUAGGGAGACGCCCGGAGCGAGCGGAGCCAGGCGCGCCGGGAGUGGCCAGGCGAGCCCGGCCGGACGCCGGACGCCGGACGCCGGAGCGCGCGCUGGAGCCGGCGCUGGAGCCUGGGCCCGAGCCGCGCCGUCCGCCCGCAGAGCUGCGGGGACGCGCCCGCGGGGACGCCCGGCCCAGUCCCCGGCCGGACCCCAGGGACCUCUCCUGUGCUGGUGCCUCGCCCCCCGCCAACUCCACCCCACUAGUGGUCUCCGCUGCCACCGCCCGUGGAGCAGCCCAGUGCUGGGAUGAGAAAGGACCCAUCCCUACCGAUGGGUGAAUGGGUGCGAUCCUGAACUGCGGGGCAGGCAGAUCCCCACACCCCAGGCCCUGCCCCACUCUUGAGGAUCAUCCAGUCAGGGAGAGGGAUGAGGGUUGUCAGGGCUGCCAGAGCCAUCUUUUGAGCUCAGACCACCUUUUGCUUGAGGCCUAUUUCCCUCAAGGCUUUGGGGGAAAAAUGGGGCAGGGCUGGGCCCCACCCUAGAAUUGCCAGAUAAAAUGCAGGGUGGUGGUCAGCCUGGGUGGCUCAGCGGUUUGGCGCCUGCCCAGGGCCUGAUCCCGGAGACCUGGGAUGGGGUCCCGCGACGGGCUCCCUGCGUGGGGCUCCCUGCGUGGGGCCCGCUCCUCCCUCUGCCUGUGUCUCUGCCCCUCCCUCUCUCUUUCUCUCUCUGUGUUUCUCAUGAAUAAAUAAAAAAAUAAAAUCUUAAAAAAAUGCA